AUGGAGUGCCUCCACAAAUUCGCGCUCGCCGACCGCCCCUCCCCUGGCUCCGGCUCCAGGGACGACGGCAGCGCCUACUCGCGCCUCCUCCGCGUGGAGCUCUUCGGGGGCGACGCCUCCCCCGGUGGUGACAGGCAGGCUCCAACAACCUCUUCCACUUCAAGACGGAACGCUCCUCCGCGCCCUCCUCCCCCUUCGCUAAGAAGCUGGACUGCGCCAGCGGCGCCGGCUCCCCCACCCCCAAGAAGGCGCCCCGCAAGGUCCCCAAGACUCCCCACAAGGUUCGAUCCGCCCCGCCCGCCCAUUCCCGCAAACACCUCACGCGCACCGAAUUCUCUGAUCUUCGAUCUACUACUAACUGGUGUGUGGUCGUCACCGGCGUGCAGAACAUGCUCGUCGUCAGCCUCGGCACCUGCGUCUACCUCUGGUCCGCAUCCAGCAGCAAGGUGCCUUUCUUUCUUUCUUGCAUCUUCUUGUUGCAUCCAUGGAUCACGCGCAGGUCAGAUUGCUAAUGGCAUCGUCGUCCAGGUUACCAAGCUGUGCGAUCUGGGGCCGAGGGACAGCGUCUGCACUGUGCACUGGACGCGCGAGGGCUCCUACCUCGCCAUCGGCACCAGCCUUGGAGACGUCCAGUGUAAAAGCAGCUCUUGUUUAUCUGGGAGCAGCACUUGUAAAGGCUGGGCUUUUGCUAAUUCAGUCCUGCACCGGCUGGCACCUCUCUGGAUCGGGGCACGAGGGCUUGAAUUUACUUGGGAGUACAUAUUUCAAGGACUUGAAGCAAAUUCCAAUCUUGUGAUGACCCUCUCCCUUGCUGCAUUAGGAUCCUUGAUGUGGCUGAGGAAGAACAAACCUAGGACUUUAAUUCCAAUAAUUUAUGCAUGUGCUCUGCUUCUAGCAACAAUGCCAUCUAUCACCAGAUGUUGGCAAAUUGUGUCCAUCUAUAAAGGUACCAAGAGGGUGCAUUUCGUCAGGAACUUGAUCAGGGAGGUCGCUGGGUUUGCUCCGUAUGACAAGCGUAUCACUGAGCUUCUCCAUCUCCCUCUCAUCUUCCUUUGCUCGCUAUUGCUGCUCCGAAUUAUACAUGCUGGCAAAGAGAUGUCCCUGUUUCCUCAGUACUAUGCACUGCUAUAUUUAUGUGGCUGUCUCUGUGUGCAUCUUAUUUUGAAACCAAGUGAGACACCUCCAUCCCCUACAUCUUGA
rnacentral:rRNA from 1 species